CUACGUGCCAGCAGCCGCGGUAAUACGUAGGUCCCGAGCGUUGUCCGGAUUUAUUGGGCGUAAAGCGAGCGCAGGCGGUUAGAUAAGUCUGAAGUUAAAGGCUGUGGCUUAACCAUAGUACGCUUUGGAAACUGUUUAACUUGAGUGCAAGAGGGGAGAGUGGAAUUCCAUGUGUAGCGGUGAAAUGCGUAGAUAUAUGGAGGAACACCGGUGGCGAAAGCGGCUCUCUGGCUUGUAACUGACGCUGAGGCUCGAAAGCGUGGGGAGCAGACAGGAUUAGAUACCCUGGUAGUCCACGCCGUAAACGAUGAGUGCUAGGUGUUAGACCCUUUCCGGGGUUUAGUGCCGUAGCUAACGCAUUAAGCACUCCGCCUGGGGAGUACGACCGCAAGGUUGAAACUCAAAGGAAUUGACGGGGGCCCGCACAAGCGGUGGAGCAUGUGGUUUAAUUCGAAGCAACGCGAAGAACCUUACCAGGUCUUGACAUCCCUCUGACCGCUCUAGAGAUAGAGUUUUC
rnacentral:rRNA from 1 species